GACCUCAUGGUGCAACAGUAUCGCAUCUGACCCCAGAUCAGAAGGUUGCUUGUUCAAAUCACGUCGGGGUCA
rnacentral:tRNA from 1 species